rnacentral:rRNA from 2 species
UACGGAGGGGGCUAGCGUUGUUCGGAAUUACUGGGCGUAAAGCGCGCGUAGGCGGCUUUGUAAGUUAGAGGUGAAAGCCCGGAGCUUAACUCCGGAACUGCCUUUAAGACUGCAUCGCUAGAAUUGUGGAGAGGUGAGUGGAAUUCCGAGUGUAGAGGUGAAAUUCGUAGAUAUUCGGAAGAACACCAGUGGCGAAGGCGACUCACUGGACACAUAUUGACGCUGAGGUGCGAAAGCGUGGGGAGCAAACAGG